CGCCUGUUUAUCAAAAACAUCGCCUCUUGCAAAACAAAAAUAAGAGGUCCUGCCUGCCCAGUGUGAAACUUUUCUCAACGGCCGCGGUAUUUUGACCGUGCUAAGGUAGCGUAAUCAUUUGUCUUUUAAAUGAAGACCUGUAUGAAUGGCUCGACGAGGGCUUAGCUGUCUCCUUUUUCAGGUCAAUGAAAUUGAUCUCCCCGUGCAAAAGCGGGGAUACACCCAUAAGACGAGAAGACCCUAUGGAGCUUCAGAUGUUACAGCAAGCAUUAUGUGCUACUUCCAAACAAAGGGGGUAUCACUAGCCCCUGCCCAAACAUCUUCGGUUGGGGUGACCAUGGGGAACAAAAAACCCCCACGCCUCUGUAUUGGAGUCUCCUAUACACCUAAACAAACUCCCUCAAACAAGAGCCACCGCUCUAGUUUAACAGAAUUUCUGACCACCGAUCCGGCAACGCCGAUUAACGAACCAAGUUACCCUAGGGAUAACAGCGCAAUCCCCUUUCAGAGCCCAUAUCGAUAAGGGGGCUUACGACCUCGAUGUUGGAUCAGGACAUCCUAAUGGUGCAACCGCUAUUAAGGGUUCGUUUGUUCAACGAUUAAAGUCCUACGUGAUCUGAGUUCAGACCGG
rnacentral:rRNA from 1 species